CCUACGGGAGGCAGCAGUGAGGAAUAUUGGACAAUGGGCGCUAGCCUGAACCAGCCAAGCAGCGUGAAGGAUGACUGCACUAUGGGUUGUAAACUCUAUCUAUAUGGGAAUAAAGUGCAGUAUGUAUACUACAUUGCAUGUACCUCAUGAAUAAGGAUCGGCUAACUCUGUGCCAGCAGCCGCGGUAAUACGGAGGAUCCGAGCGUGAUCCGUAUUUAUUGGGUGUAAAGGGAGCGUAGGAGGGUUGUUAAGUCAGUAGUGAAAGGUUGCGGCUCAACCGUAAGAUUGCAGUUGAUACUGGCCUCCUUGAGUACAGUAGAGGUAGGCGGAAUUCGUGGUGUAGCGGUGAAAUGCUUAGAUAUCACGAGGAACUCCGAUUGCGAAGGCAGCCUGCUGGACUGUAACUGACGCUGAUGCUCGAAAGUGUGGGUAUCAAACAGGAUUAGAUACCCUGGUAGUC
rnacentral:rRNA from 1 species